GAUGAACGCUGGCGGCGUGCCUAAUACAUGCAAGUCGAGCGAACAGACGAGGAGCUUGCUCCUCUGACGUUAGAGGCGGACGGGUGAGUAACACGUGGAUAACCUACCUAUAAGACUGGGAUAACUUCGGGAAACCGGAGCUAAUACCGGAUAAUAUAUUGAACCGCAUGGUUCAAUAGUGAAAGACGGUUUUGCUGUCACUUAUAGAUGGAUCCGCGCCGCAUUAGCUAGUUGGUAAGGUAACGGCUUACCAAGGCAACGAUGCGUAGCCGACCUGAGAGGGUGAUCGGCCACACUGGAACUGAGACACGGUCCAGACUCCUACGGGAGGCAGCAGCAGGGAAUCUUCCGCAAUGGGCGAAAGCCUGACGGAGCAACGCCGCGUGAGUGAUGAAGGUCUUCGGAUCGUAAAACUCUGUUAUUAGGGAAGAACAAAUGUGUAAGUAACUAUGCACGUCUUGACGGUACCUAAUCAGAAAGCCACGGCUAACUACGUG
rnacentral:rRNA from 1 species